rnacentral:snoRNA from 1 species
UGGCGAUGAGGAGAAAUCUACGUGUUGAAUUAUGGUGAUAGUUCUAUACGCUAUUCUGAGCCGCCA